UCUAGGUUCAAAUCUGGCCUCUGCCACAUCCUGGCUGUGUGACCCUGGGCAAGUCACUUGACCCCCAUUGCCUAGCCCUUACCACUCUUCUGCCUUGGAGCCAAUACACAGUAUUGACCCCAAGAUGGAAGGUAAGGGUUUAAAAAAUAAAAAUAAAUAAACUCUAUCAGAGAGGCUCCCUCCCACCCAGCAAUUGAGAGGGAAGUCAGCAUUGAGAUCAUCAUUCGCCCCUAUUGGGGGAAAUGUCACUUCUUGAGUAGAAAGACCAGAAGAGAAGCUGCUCCUCCAAAAAGGAGAAAAGGAAGAAAUUCUUGAGGAAGCUACAUGAGUGGGACCAGCAAUCAACCCAUACUCAUCUGGUAUGAAUAUGAAAUUUCAUCUGCAAAAAAUUGCUGACAUCAGAAGAAGAUACUACUACAGGCAACAGGAAAACCAUAACAUCAGAGACCUCAUGGGGACAGAGGAUAAACUAAAGGGAAUACAGGAAUUCAUGAAAGUGACACCUGAGAUGAACCUUCAAGGAGAAAUGGCCACUAUACCUCUAUGUCACAAAUACCCACAACAGAGUAAUCUAUUCCAGGAGGACAAGCCUUGAUGCAGACCCAGAAUCUGAAGAAGGGAGUGAGUACACAUUGUAAUUCCUGUAAC
rnacentral:lncRNA from 1 species